rnacentral:rRNA from 1 species
UACGGAGGGUGCAAGCGUUAUCCGGAUUCACUGGGUUUAAAGGGUGCGUAGGUGGGUUGGUAAGUCAGUGGUGAAAUCUCCGAGCUUAACUUGGAAACUGCCAUUGAUACUAUCAGUCUUGAAUAUUGUGGAGGUCAGCGGAAUAUGUCAUGUAGCGGUGAAAUGCUUAGAUAUGACAUAGAACACCAAUUGCGAAGGCAGCUCGCUACACGAAUAUUGACUCUGAGGCACGAAAGCGUGGGGAUCAAACAGG